GACAGAGGGUGCAAACGUUGCUCGGAAUCACUGGGCGUAAAGGGCGCGUAGGCGGUCCUGAUCGUCGGAUGUGAAAGGCCUGGGCUCAACCUGGGAAUGGCAUCCGAUACGGCGGGACUGGAGUGUGGGAGAGGUUGGUGGAAUUCCCAGUGUAGAGGUGAAAUUCGUAGAUAUUGGGAAGAACACCGGUGGCGAAGGCGGGUCUCUGGGCCGAUACUGACGCUGAGGUGCGAAAGCGUGGGGAGCAAACAGG
rnacentral:rRNA from 1 species